UCUCUGCAACUUGAAUCUUAAAAGUUUGGUUUUCUCAACCAAAAAUAUAACUCCAAAUAUCUCCCUAAAAUGUUUGCGAAAACCAAAUUCCCUCAUAAAAGAUUUGCGAAAACUAGAUUUCCCACUAAAGCUCGCCAAACACCCAAAGUUUUCGCAUCUUAUCAAAUAGAACACUUUCAGUUUUAGGUAACGACUUGCAUCUUAUCAAAUAAAAUCUCUCAAAACCCUAGAAAAUGACUCACAUCUUCUUCUCGAAAUAAUUAUUCGCUUGAACUUAUACAAUUUUCAAUCACACACAUAAAGACUCGAAAUCCCUAAUUUCCUAUCUCAUACAUCAAACUCAUCCAUUAAAAGAGAUCUACACAUCAGUUCGAUUAAAUUUUGGGUUUUGGUGACUUAUAGCAGGUUGUUUUCUUUCAUUUUUGAAGAUUCAAUUUGAAGAAGAUUGUCUAGCUUUCUUGCCACUAUCAGUGAGCUAACAGGAUGGAAAAUAAACAAAGUGGAGAGCAAUUUUAGCAUUCCAAUUUCGCAUAUACUGGUAAAAUCUUGUUUAAUAUUGUUGAUUUAAGAUGUAUUUUUACUGGUAAAAUGUUAAAUUCUUGUUUAAUAUUGUUGAGUUUAGAUGUAUUUUCAGUUGUGUGCAAAAUGUUGAUAUUGCUCUCUAAGCAGCUGCCGUCCUUAUAAAGAGAAAAGUUCGAGGUGAUGCCACUCUUGCAUGUUUCGUGAGAAACAAACAACCUAAGGUAAAAGUUGAUUUGGAUGGCAAACAUAGUGGAGACAAUCAAGCACGACAUUCUGAUGUCAUGGGGUGUUGCGUAAACAAUCUCGCCUUUUCAACUGGCCCAAGCUUUGGAAUUUGGCAAUUUGCUGGCUGAUGAGGCUAAGGAUUGGUUAUGGUGAACAUACUCAGCAGAACUAUAUAUCAUCUUUGUUUUUUAUUUGCCAUUUGAUUUGUUAGUGUAACUUAUGAACUGAAUUCUAUAGAUGAAUGUUAUAGAACAGCGACACUCUCUAUUGCUUAAGGAAUGUUUAAGAGCAAGAAAGAUAAAUUCCAACAGAAACACCAAAAACCCAAAAACGCACAUGCAGAUAAUCUUGAUGACCCAAGGCGUUAACCAAAUUGGAAUGGAAGCUGGGGAUAUUGUGAAACAUUUGGAUGGUUGAGAGCAACGAGUAAGUUCAUACAUCUGAUAUCAAGAAACUCUAUCAAGAGUAUGUAUGUGUUUAAGUUUUGGUAAUACACUUAUGUCUGAAAUGGUACGUACAUGCAUAUGUUGGUCUUUAUGGUUACCUUUCAUUCUGCAACUCAUUAUUUGGUUGGAUUUGACUAUUUAUGUUCGAGAUAUUUCUCACAUUGGACUGCGUACAGCUAGUAGAGAGGAGUUAGAUUGGGACACAUGAACCUCAAAUCAUAUAUCAUCAUCAAGAGAUAUGAGCUAGGGAAAUUACCCUUGUAAAUCUUUGCAACUCUAAUUAUACCCUUAAAGCGCUUUUUAUCUGUAACAGUAUUUAAAUGGCCGUUAUUUUGUUUGCAUGUUUAGCACCUCUUGAUCAUGUAUCUGGCUUAGCUGCACCCAAUUCCUUGUCAAAGAUGGAUAGUGUGCUACAAACCAGUUUUUUCUCCCUUAAAUAGCCGUAAUUUUUUGUAUAAAUUAUAUCAUUUAAUUUUAUAUCGCUUAUCACUGUAAGUGGCGGAAUUUGUAUAUGCUCAAGAUAAUGAAGGAGUAUUACGUCAAAACCAAAUUAUUGAGUGUGUCAGAUUGUACUGGCCAGACCGAUUUACAUGACCAGGGGAUCUCUCAGGUUCUUCUGAUCACUUUUUCAGAAUUGGGGAGCAUCAUUACAGACAUUCGUAGCAACUAUCUAGAUGCAGGGCGUGCCCAGCAGACCUAAGGAGGAACUCUUUGGACCUAGGAAGCCACUUUACAUGCCUGGGAGGCAGCUCAAGGAACCUCAAACCGGCUGUGCGCUUGGCUUAGGAACGUACGUCUGGGUAGAAUAAAUCUAGUAUGAUCUAUAAGGUUUUGUUAAUUUCGAUUAAGGUUGAUACUAAAAUCGGAGAUUGUGUAAAAUAGUUUGUUUCUUUCCUUAUGGUGAAGUGGGAUUCACUAUACUCUGUAACAAAUAUAUUGUUUCUUAAUGAAAUUAAAUUUUCUUGUUUUAAUUCAAUA